rnacentral:misc_RNA from 1 species
GAUGAAGAACGUAGCGAAAUGCGAUAAGUAAUGUGAAUUGCAGAAUUCAGUGAAUCAUCGAAUCUUUGAACGCACCUUGCGCCCUUUGGCUAUUCCGAAGGGCAUGCCUGUUUGAGUAUCAUGAACAUCUCAACUCCUCACGGUUCGCCCGUGACGAGCUUGGACUUUGGGGGUCUUGCCGGCCUGCGGGUCAGCUCCUCUCAAAUGAAUCAGCUUGCCGGUGUUUGGUGGCGUCACAGGUGUGAUAAAUAUCUACGCUUGUGGUUUUCUGCCAGGUAACCUCCAGCGAUGGGGGUUCACUGGAGCUCACGAAUGUCUCUCCGCGGUGAGGACAGCUCUUUGAACGUUUGAUCUCAAAUCAGGUAGGGCUACCCGCUGAACUUAAGCAUAUCAAUAAGCGGAGGA